GACGAACGCUGGCGGCGUGCCUAAUACAUGCAAGUUGAGCGCUGAAGGUUGGUACUUGUACCGACUGGAUGAGCAGCGAACGGGUGAGUAACGCGUGGGGAAUCUGCCUUUGAGCGGGGGACAACAUUUGGAAACGAAUGCUAAUACCGCAUAAAAACUUUAAACACAAGUUUUAAGUUUGAAAGAUGCAGUUGCAUCACUCAAAGAUGAUCCCGCGUUGUAUUAGCUAGUUGGUGAGGUAAAGGCUCACCAAGGCGAUGAUACAUAGCCGACCUGAGAGGGUGAUCGGCCACAUUGGGACUGAGACACGGCCCAAACUCCUACGGGAGGCAGCAGUAGGGAAUCUUCGGCAAUGGACGAAAGUCUGACCGAGCAACGCCGCGUGAGUGAAGAAGGUUUUCGGAUCGUAAAACUCUGUUGGUAGAGAAGAAAGUUGGUGAGAGUGGAAAGCUCAUCAAGUGACGGUAACUACCCAGAAAGGGACGGCUAACUACGUG
rnacentral:rRNA from 1 species